rnacentral:rRNA from 1 species
UACUGUAGGGUGCAAGCGUUGUCCGGAAUUAUUGGGCGUAAAGAGCUCGUAGGCGGUCUGUCGCGUCGGCUGUGAAAACCCGGGGCUCAACCCCGGGCCUGCAGUCGAUACGGGCAGACUAGAGUGCGGUAGGGGAGACUGGAAUUCCUGGUGUAGCGGUGAAAUGCGCAGAUAUCAGGAGGAACACCGAUGGCGAAGGCAGGUCUCUGGGCCACUACUGACGCUGAGAAGCGAAAGCAUGGGGAGCGAACAGG